UACGUAGGGUGCAAGCGUUGUCCGGAUUCACUGGGUUUAAAGGGAGCGCAGGCGGAUUGGUAAGUCAGUGGUGAAAGGCUUGAGCUUAACUCGGGAACUGCCAUUGAUACUAUCAGUCUUGAAUAUUGUUGAGGUUUGCGGAAUGGGUCAUGUAGCGGUGAAAUGCAUAGAUAUGACCCGGAACACCUAUUGCGAAGGCAGCAGGCUAAACAAAGAUUGACGCUGAGGCUCGAAAGCGUGGGGAUCAAACAGG
rnacentral:rRNA from 1 species